rnacentral:rRNA from 1 species
AUGUGGCUAACGAGAAGAGAGAAGGGCAUGAAAGAAAUACGUCAAGGCUUGAGCGUGAAGGAAAGAAGUAAUGUAGGGGAGCAAACUAAAAGAAGAGGAGGAUCUUCUUGGGAAGAAAGAAGAAAGGAGGAGGGCCAAAGUAAAAAAAAGACAGAACAGAGGAGGGAUCAAAAAUCCCUAGCGCAGCCGAUCCCCAUCAGGCCUGGCAUCUCAUCUCUCUCCCUCACCCCUCCUUCUCCACCACCGGCCGCCGCCGCGGCCAGGCCGGCGUGGCGGUGCGCCUGCUGCUCCUCCACUCAGCCACGAGCACCAUCCGCCGCACCAUCCAUCCAUCCCAGCCGCGCCGCACCAUCCAUCCACCACUCCACCAGCGCCGCAUCCCCAACAUCCAACACCGCCGCGCCUGUGACACCCCCGAUUCAAUCGUACACUAAUCAUGCACGCAAACGUGUACGAUCAAGAUCAGGGACUCACGGGAAGAUAUCACAACGCAACUCUAAAACAUAA